rnacentral:rRNA from 1 species
GACGAACGCUGGCGGCGUGCUUAACACAUGCAAGUCGAACGGAAAGGCCCUGCUUUUGUGGGGUGUUCGAGUGGCGAACGGGUGAGUAACACGUGAGUAACCUGCCCUUGACUUUGGGAUAACUUCAGGAAACUGGGGCUAAUACCGGAUAGGAGCUCCUGCUGCAUGGUGGGGGUUGGAAAGUUUCGGCGGUUGGGGAUGGGCUCGCGGCUUAUCAGCUUGUUGGUGGGGUAGUGGCUUACCAAGGCUUUGACGGGUAGCCGGCCUGAGAGGGUGACCGGCCACAUUGGGACUGAGAUACGGCCCAGACUCCUACGGGAGGCAGCAGUGGGGAAUAUUGCACAAUGGGCGGAAGCCUGAUGCAGCAACGCCGCGUGCGGGAUGACGGCCUUCGGGUUGUAAACCGCUUUCGCCUGUGACGAAGCGUGAGUGACGGUAAUGGGUAAAGAAGCACCGGCUAACUACGUG